UACAGCGGGGGCAAGCGUUGUUCGGAAUUACUGGGCGUAAAGGGCGCGUAGGCGGCCUGUUAAGUCGAACGUGAAAUCCCCGGGCUCAACCCGGGAACUGCGUCCGAUACUGGCAGGCUUGAAUUCGGGAGAGGGAUGCGGAAUUCCAGGUGUAGCGGUGAAAUGCGUAGAUAUCUGGAGGAACACCGGUGGCGAAGGCGGCAUCCUGGACCGAGAUUGACGCUGAGGCGCGAAAGCCAGGGGAGCAAACGGG
rnacentral:rRNA from 1 species